rnacentral:lncRNA from 1 species
AUGGAAAUAAAUGCUUACAAGCAAAUUUCCCAUCCAGCACUUCUUGCAUCUAAUUUACAGUUGACUUCUUAUACUUCUAUCGACUGCCCAGUGGUACACUCAUUGAGGAUUUGGAUCCAAUUCAGGAAAGCAUUUGGUUUUAGGGAUCCCUCUCUCCUUAGCCCUGUGUUCCGUAAUCAUUUUUUUCCACCUUCAAUGCAGGAUGGUUCAUUCAAGAGUUUGUCUCACAAGGGGAUAAAAUGUUUCAAAGAUUUAUUUGUGAAUAAUGUAUUCGCUUCUUUUGAUCAAUUGGUAUUACGUUUUGGUCUUACCAGGUCAGAUUUUUUUCGAUUCUUGCAAGUAAGACAUUAUGUUAAGUCACUUGUACCAGACUUCCCAAAGAUCUCUUCUGAAAAUCCUUUGGAUAGGUUCCUUUCAUGUAAUGUAAUAACUAAAGGCUCAAUUGCUAUUAUUUAUAAUUUAAUGAUAAAUCUGGCAUGUUUAUCUCUGGUUAACAUUAAAACAGCUUGGGAGGAAGACCUUGACAGGCCACUCUCUGAAGACACAUGGAACUGCAUCCUCAAACAGGUCCACUCAUCAUCAAUAUGUGCUCGGCAUUCACUUAUACAGUUUAAAGUAGUGCACAGAGCUCAUAUAUCCAAAGUCAAACUAGCUCAGAUGUUUCCUGGUACUAACCCUAUUUGCAAUAGAUGUAAAUGUGCUGAGGGAACGUUAAUUCACAUGUUCUGGACAUGCCCCAAAUUAGAGCAUUACUGGCGAUCUAUAUUUCUCACCCUUUCUGCAGUCCUUCAACAUAGAUUAGAGCCAGAGCCUCUGGUGGCAUUAUUUGGAGUUGCUCCAGAGGAGGUAUGGUUGUCAGCAUCAAUGUGUAAGGUCCUUGCUUUUUCUUCCCUGAUCGCACGUAGAGCAAUAUUAUUAAAGUGGAAAGACCCCUUGCCACCCACUCACACUCAAUGGAUCAAAGAUAUGAUGUCUUGUCUCUGCCUCGAAAAAAUUAGGUAUUCGCUAAGAGGAUUGAAAAAACAAUUUUUUGUGUGGCGCUCUUUUAUUGAAUAUGUUGAUAAGUCUGUUUAA